AGCUCCAAUAGCGUAUAUUAAAGUUGUUGCGGUUAAAACGCUCGUAGUUGAUAUUCUGCUGGCAAUUCGGGGUACGCCCUAGUGGCGAUAACUUCAGGAAGUGCUUGCAUCAUCUUAGGGAAUGAUAUUGCACUUCGCUGUGCGAUUCAGAAACUAGGUCAUUUACUUUGAGGAAAUCGAAGUGCUCCAAGCAAGCAUACGCUUUGAACAUUGUAGCAUGGAAUAAUCUUACAAACUCUACUGACAUAGAUGAAUCUGUCAGUGGAGGUUAUGAGGAAUAGAAACAAAUGGGGGCAUUCGUAUUUAACUGCUAGAGGUGAAAUUCUUGGAUUUGUUAAAGACGAUCAACUGCGAAGGCACCUGCCAAGGAUGUUUUCA
rnacentral:rRNA from 1 species